UGCUGCAUUAUCGUGGCUGGGGGAGCGACCACCAAACACCCAGUUAUGCUGUACAGAUAGAGUGUAAGAGAGAGCAAGAGCGCGGCGCGUGAGAUUCGUCGGGCAGGGCGACAAGUUCUUGGAACCCGUCGUGCAGUACAAUGGAGUUGGUUGUGUGUGGAUGCUGGAGUUGUUUGAAGUUGGAGUUGGGGUUGCAGUUGGAGUCAACAAAGAAACAAGUAACCAGGAGAAAUAUACAUAUGUAUGUAUACGUACAUACAUACGGAGAUGCACAGGGAGCGAAACGGAUGGAGCGAGAGAGCAAAGUUGAGACAAAGGCUAAGAGAGGAUGGAACCCGGCUUUCACUGCAUUUCUAUAUUACCUAAAAACACACACACCCAUACAGACUUACGCUGAUUAUUUCCAAAGAUGUAUUUACCUGUGCGUCCCAUGCAUUGAGAAUGGAAGGAAACGUGAUUAGAGUGACUCUCCCAUGAUAUGCUACAUACAUUUUGCGGGGUUUUCCAUAAAACCAUGAAGAAACUAUAGAGGAGGGCCCGUCGUCGGCAGCGUUCCUCGGGUCAUUUCCCCCCAACGACCGUGCUGGAACGCAAUCCGACACCAUCCAUAAAUUCCAAAACCCAGAACAAGACGACCCAUCGUUAGGGUCCCCGGUCCGCGACACUAAGGAAACUAUCUUGAGUUUUAAAUUAAGAAAUCCACUGGCUUAUCUAUACCAUAAACGGUGUUAUAUAUCAUUUUUAAAAAUGUUCAUACAUACAGAUGUAGUACAUGGUGUGUACAUAUGUAUGCAAAUAGUAUAUACCAUACAUUAUAUACCCUCAAGAGCGUUCAUUCGAUUGUACAAAAUAAUUAAAACGUAUUCUCAAUGUCGUAAUAGCUGACGAUAGUCGUAGACACUCUAUGUACUACCCAGUAUUAGCUGGAAUGCUGAUAAGAAAUUAUAAGGGUGCUCUUUCCUGACAUCACAGCUUCAAGAUCUCGACAGAUCUUUUAUAGAGAGGCAACUAAAGAGAGAUAAACAGUUUAGAAUCAUUUUACUCAUUUAUACAUUAAAAACAACUAUUAUAUCAAGGCCUCUACUAAUCUAAUCUAAGAUCAUGGAACCACAUUUUAAUGUAUUUCGUUUUAAAC